GCCGGUCUGGCCGAGGGGUUAAGGUGGUAGUCUAAUUGCCUACUCCUAUCCGAGGUGACUUGGGAAGGUUCUUGUAGGUGGCUUAACGAGCUACUGGAGCAAUCCGCGCAGGUUCGAAUCCCGCGGCCGGCA